rnacentral:rRNA from 1 species
AUUGAACGCUGGCGGCAGGCCUAACACAUGCAAGUCGAGCGGAUGAAGUGAGCUUGCUCCUGGAUUCAGCGGCGGACGGGUGAGUAAUGCCUAGGAAUCUGCCUGGUAGUGGGGGAUAACGUCCGGAAACGGGCGCUAAUACCGCAUACGUCCUGAGGGAGAAAGUGGGGGAUCUUCGGACCUCACGCUAUCAGAUGAGCCUAGGUCGGAUUAGCUAGUUGGUGGGGUAAAGGCCUACCAAGGCGACGAUCCGUAACUGGUCUGAGAGGAUGAUCAGUCACACUGGAACUGAGACACGGUCCAGACUCCUACGGGAGGCAGCAGUGGGGAAUAUUGGACAAUGGGAGAAAGCCUGAUCCAGCCAUGACGCGUGUGUGAAGAAGGUCUUCGGAUUGUAAAGCACUUUAAGUUGGGAGGAAGGGCAGUAAGUUAAUACCUUGCUGUUUUGACGUUACCAACAGAAUAAGCACCGGCUAACUUCGUG